AGGGCCAGGAUUAGAACCCGGGUCCUCCGACUCCCAGGGGCUCUUUUCACCGGGCCACGCUGCUCCUUCGUACAGCGGAGAUGGAGACGGACGACUACCUACCUGACCGCUAGACUUUGCCUUGUGAGACGCCGCCUCGUCCUGCACGUCACUCGCAACACCAAUCCACGCCGGUGGCGUCGUACCCGAACCGCCCCAACUUGCCCGAGCCGGUUUCUGCAGUGCCUCAGAAGCCCCGAGCCCUUGGAUAAUGGAAUCCCGCCGGUGCCUUUCAUGUUGGUUGUGUCUGAACGGAGUUCGGAUGGUUGUCAAAUAGUUGGAAUUCCAGCCGGGUGCACCGCCUCCAGAUGGACGACCACGUUCCCCUCUGAGCAGCCCGUCGAUUCGCCCGCUUCAAUCUGGGCCCGACCGCGUCUCUGUGGAUGGGGCGGAUGCCCCCGACGGCGCCACGUUCGUUCCGGAGAUUCGCUCCGCCGUGGCGGCGUCAGACGCCCUGGCCAGUGAGACCCUCGGGUGGAGCGGUGGAAUCUCGUCGUCAUCUGCGUGUCCGUCGCUCCGUCGGUGGUAUCGACUGAGUGCUUAUGGUGUGCGGGGCCCUGCGUUAAGCGCUUGGGAGAGUACAGAGUGGCAGAAUUGGUAGACACGUUCCCUCCCCACAAAGAGCAGUCCUCGUGAGCUCAGGGCUGAGGAGACCUCGGACUGUCCAGGAAGGGCUUCAGCGGCCAGUCGGGGCCGGACGCUGAUGACCUCGCUCACCCCGGAGGAGCUGGUCAAUCCCAGCUCCUUAAUAAUAAUAAUAUUAAUGAUGAUGG